UACGUAGGGCGCAAGCGUUGUCCGGAAUUAUUGGGCGUAAAGAGCUCGUAGGCGGCUUGUCACGUCGGGUGUGAAAGCCCGGGGCUUAACCCCGGGUCUGCAUCCGAUACGGGCAGGCUAGAGUGUGGUAGGGGAGAUCGGAAUUCCUGGUGUAGCGGUGAAAUGCGCAGAUAUCAGGAGGAACACCGGAGGCGAAGGCGGUUCUCUGGGCAUUACCUGACGCUGAGGAGCGAAAGUGUGGGGAGCGAACAGG
rnacentral:rRNA from 1 species